rnacentral:rRNA from 1 species
ACUACGGGAGGCUGCAGUAGGGAAUUUUCGUCAAUGGGCGCAAGCCUGAACGAGCGAUGCCGCGUGAGUGAAGAAGGCCUUCGGGUCGUAAAGCUCUGUUGCGGGGGAAAAAAGGCAGCAUCAGGAAAUGGGUGCUGACUGAUGGUGCCCCGCCAGCAAGUCACGGCUAACUACGUGCCAGCAGCCGCGGUAAUAGGGAGGUGGCGAGCGUUAUCCGGAAUGAGUGGGCGUAAAGGGUGCGCAGGCGGUCCUGCAAGUCUGGAGUGAAACGCAUGGGCUCAACUCAUGCAUGGCUUUGGAAACUGGAGGACUGGAGAGCAGGAGAGGGCGGUGGAACUCCAUGUGUAGCGGUAAAAUGCGUAGAUAUAUGGAAGAACACCAGUGGCGAAGGCGGCCGCCUGGCCUGUUGCUGACGCUGAGGCACGAAAGCGUGGGGAGCAAAUAGGAUUAGAUACCCGGGUAGUC